CCUACGGGAGGCAGCAGUAGGGAAUUUUCGUCAAUGGGCGCAAGCCUGAACGAGCGAUGCCGCGUGAGUGAAGAAGGCCUUCGGGUCGUAAAGCUCUGUUGCGGGGGAAAAAAGGCAGCAUCAGGAAAUGGGUGCUGACUGAUGGUGCCCCGCCAGAAAGUCACGGCUAACUACGUGCCAGCAGCCGCGGUAAUACGGAGGUGGCGAGCGUUAUACGGAAUGGUUGGGCGUAAAGGGUGCGCAGGCGGUCCUGCAAGUCUGGAGUGAAACGCAUGAGCUAAACUCAUGCAUGGCUUUGGAAACUGGAGGACUGGAGAGCAGGAGAGGGCGGUGGAACUCCAUGUGUAGCGGUAAAAUGCGUAGAUAUAUGGAAGAACACCAGUGGCGAAGGCGGCCGCCUGGCCUGUUGCUGACGCUGAGGCACGAAAGCGUGGGGAGCAAAUAGGAUUAGAUACCCGGGUAGGUC
rnacentral:rRNA from 1 species